rnacentral:misc_RNA from 1 species
AAGUCGUAACAAGGUUUCCGUAGGUGAACCUGCGGAAGGAUCAUUACCAAUCUUAGCGGGCCUGGUCUUGUCGACCAUGGUUUCGCGAAAAUUGUAUUUAAAACCCCACUCUUAUAUAAAAUGAAUCAUUUUAUUUGUAAUAAUAAUAAAUAAAGAUCACUUUCAACAACGGAUCUCUUGGCUCUC